UACGUAGGGUGCAAGCGUUAAUCGGAAUUACUGGGCGUAAAGCGUGCGCAGGCGGUUGUGUAAGACAGAUGUGAAAUCCCCGGGCUCAACCUGGGAACUGCGUUUGUGACUGCACAGCUGGAGUGCGGCAGAGGGGGAUGGAAUUCCGCGUGUAGCAGUGAAAUGCGUAGAUAUGCGGAGGAACACCGAUGGCGAAGGCAAUCCCCUGGGCCUGCACUGACGCUCAUGCACGAAAGCGUGGGGAGCAAACAGG
rnacentral:rRNA from 1 species